rnacentral:lncRNA from 1 species
UUCUCUUCAUGAAAUUAUCCCUAUAUUAUAUAAUAACAAGUGUAGAGACCCGCGCGAUGCAGCAAGUAGAUAAUAGAAAUAAAUUUUUAAUAUUUUAAUAAAAUUUAUAUUUACAGCUUUUAGGAAGCUAUACCAUGUUUAAGCACAGUCAAUUUGCAUAACUAAAUUCAGUUAUUAAAAAAAUAAAAUAAUAGUUAGAAGCAUAUGAAAUAUAUAAAUAAUAACUUAACGUAUCUAGCUUAAGAAAAUUUUGGUUGGCGUCUCAGGCUCCAAAUCUCCGCAUCAUACUUUUUAAUCUACGAAAGAAAUUUUGCCCACAACAGUGUCUACUCAAAAAAAUGAUCAUAAUAUGAAAAUAAAACAAAAAACAUCAAUCUUAAAAAAACUAAUAUUUUUUUGGAGCACUUCUCUUACUCAUCCAAAUCUCAUACAUCUUCUUAAUCUUCAGCUGGUAGUUGCUCCCUGCGCCGAGUCAUUUCUGGAUUUCCAUUGUAACCUAUGAACAAACACCUCAUCUACAUCACCAAACUGCGAUAUCUAAACCGACACAGUCUUGCCAUCACAUCAACCACAGAAACCCUAAUUCUUAAACAAUUUGAUUUAUCAAAAAGUUCCUGCAAUUCUUGAGAAGCGAGCUCCCGCGCAACAUCGCCGCGAAGAGGAGGCUAGGACGGCGCUCCCCUCGGCCUAGUUGCCGGCGCGCGGGAGCCGUGUGAGGAGGCAGCCGAGGCGGCGGCGGUUCACGGCGAGCGACGGCUCCAGUGCAGACUGGCCCAGCGAGCACUUAUAUGGGGCGCGGCUGGACUUUACAGGACGAUAUUUUUUGAAGGAGACAACGUUCUUCGCAUGCUCUUCUUCUUCAUCAUCCUCAUAAUCUUUGUUAACACAAUGAGAUAGAGAGAAGGAGAUAAGUGUGGGGUGAGAGAUUAGAUGAUAAUGUUCCUUUUUGCAUGAAAAAUAACAUGUCAUGCAAGAAAGAGGGGGUGAGGGGAUUAAUGGUGGAGGGGAGUGGAUUGGAGUUACAAAGCUCACUAAUUGGUGAAAUAUAAUGCAUGUAAUUAAAUGUGGAGAGGUGAAAGAUUGAGCAUUUAGAAGUGGAGAUUAAUAGUGGAGGGGAGUGGAUUGGAGUUACAAAGCUUACUAAUUGAUAGAAUAUGAUGCAUGUAAUUAAAUGUGGAGAGGUGAAGGGUUUAGCAUAGCAUUUAGAAGUGAUGAUUAAUGGUGGAGAGGAGUGGAUUGGAGUUACAAAGCUCACUAAUUGGUGGAAUAUAAUGCAUGUAAUUAAAUAUAGAGAGGUAAACGGUUAAGCAUUUAGAAGUGGAGAAGAAACGUAAAUUUUAUAUUGGGAAUUCAUAUAAGAGAUGGAUAUUAUCUAUUAACCUAAGAAUGAAGGGUUUCUUGCCACGUGGCAAGAAAUAUUGGGGAUUCAUUAUGUUUAAUAGAUAUAAUAUAUAUAAUAAAAAAAUAUAUUUAGUGUAGAUUUGUUAAAACACUAAUAUAUAUUUUUAAUUGAUUAUUGAAAUACGAAACAUAACAAA